rnacentral:rRNA from 1 species
AGUUUGAUCCUGGCUCAGAACGAACGCUGGCGGCGUACUUAACACAUGCAAGUCGAACGCGAAAGUUGUCUUCGGACAGCGAGUAGAGUGGCGCACGGGUGAGUAACGCGUAGAUAAUCUACCCCCAUAUUUGGGAUAACAUCGGGAAACUGGUGCUAAUACCGGAUACACUUAUUAAUUCGCAAGGAUAUAUAAGGAAAGGAGACCUCUUCAUGAAAGUUUCUGUAUAGGGAUGAGUCUGCGUACCAUUAGCUAGUUGGUGGGGUAAAGGCCUACCAAGGCGACGAUGGUUAGCGGGUCUGAGAGGAUGAUCCGCCACACUGGAACUGGAACACGGACCAGACUCCUACGGGAGGCAGCAGUGAGGAAUAUUGCGCAAUGGGGGAAACCCUGACGCAGUGACGCCGCGUGAGUGAAGAAGGUCUUCGGGUCGUAAAGCUCUGUCAGGUGGGAAGAAAUGAUUAUAGGUUAAUACCCUAUAGUUUUGACGGUACCACCAAAGGAAGCACCGGCUAAAUCCGUGCCAGCAGCCGCGGUAAUACAAGGGCGA